CUCUAGGUGAUCACCGUGGCUCCCGACCCUCAGGGCGGGCUCCCAGCAGCGUGUGCAGACGCACCCACCCCGAGUUAAAAUGGCAGGGGCCUGAGCGAGGUGCAGGGAGCUAGGCUGCGCCAAGCACCUGCGCUGAGGAGCGGUGCGAUCGGUCCCUUCCGAAAAACUAGGAGCAGGCUCGUCCCCCCCUCCUUCUGCCAUGGUCCACACUCCCUCUCCCUGUGCAACGCAAAGAGGUGCUUGCCCAACCGUGGCGGCUUCUGCGUGGCCACUGGAAGGGUGAAAUCCCAGCUCCAUUACGUGCCACAAAACGUGGAUCGGUUUCCUUGGUGUUGGGGUCUCACCUGGGCAAUUAAAAACCCCAGGUACCUCCAGCGGACAAGAUGGUUUCCAACCCUCAUGGCCGCAUGCAGAGGAGUGCAGCCAAGCGGUCGGUGUGUGGCCACACAGACCUUCUGUGGCGCCACAUGCUGCACGUGCAGGCAUUCCUCGCACUGCAGGGGCAGGGAGGGUUCACCCCAGGGUCAGAAAAACCAGCACGGAAAAAAACCGGGGCAGUGCACGUGGCAGCAGUGUGCACUGCCCAAAACCAGAGCCUGGCCUGCCAGAGCCACGCUCCAGCUGCCUACCAGGAUCCCAGCUGCAGCAGUGCCAUGGGACCCCAGUAGAUUUUAUUUUGCACAAUUCAAUGAAGUCAAGGAGAAGAACUGGGAAGAGCCACCAGGCAAGUGAAACGAAAAGGUUGGGAUAAUCCUAUGGAUAUGCCAGGUGCAGUGGGAGCAUAAGAAGCAAAAGAUGACAGUAUACAAGGAGAAAAAUGACACUUCUCCAGCCAGGAUUUUUCCCCCAGUAAUAUGUAAGAAAGGAUAAAGUUGUUUUUGCUCAAGAGGCUGUAGAGGAUGAAGAGUAAUUUUUGGUGGGUUACAUAUUGCUGAGUGAUGAGCCACGUUCCUCCAUUCUUAAUGGAGAUUCAGAUAUUUUAUUUCUGAAUGGAACCCAUUUUCCCUUUGAUGAUGACGAUAUUAUUGGACUCAUUGUCCCCUUGAUUAUUAGAAUUGUCUGAACAAGAACACCGGAUUCAAACACGCUUGAACCUCUGGCUACUUCACAACCACGUUUCAUGACUCAUUGCUGUGACGUUCUGAAAGAUUCUGAACGGCUGAAACUCCUGAAAUGCUGCCUCUAAAGAUCCUAAACCUCUUGUGCUGUUUCUUUUUUCUCUCCUUUAAUAUAAUUUUGGUGGGGGAAAUUGAAAACACACUUUCUAAGCAUCCAAUAGAUAUACAAUAUUUUUAGUAGCUAUUCCUUUAUAUAUAUGCUAAAGAAGAAGGUUACAUCUUAAGAAAAUAUUCCUUGUCAUACUCUUAGCUUGAGAGGAUUUCCUGUUUCAAAGCUUAUCAGUUUGCUUCAGUGUGGAAAAUAUAAGUCAUAAUAUGUUUUCCUUUAAAUAAACAAGUUGAACUUUCCCAUCUCCAGGUAGCAGAAAUAUUUUUUUGUGGCUUUGCAACUAAUGGAGCCAGCAAUGUAAAGAGCACAGGUACCAAAAUGGACAUGCUUGACUAUAGUAGGUUGUAAUCUAAUGUUUAGAAUAAUAAUCACAGGACUUACAGGCUCUGACUUCUAUGUGUAUGGUCUCCAGUUUCAUAACACACUUUUGUACUUGUAAAAAUAGCAUGAUAUAUUCUUGUAAUAAGAGAUCACAAUAUUAUUCUGCUAAACAUGCACUUUAUGGAUAGCUUUUUUGAAAGGAAAGGUUUUUAAUAAGUCCUCUGUGUGAGAAAAUUUCCCUGUAAAAGUGAGACUAAUGAAGGUAGGCUUUUUUUCUAUUCAUUCAAGAAAUAUUCCAGAGCUGAUCAGUUCUAGGUGAGAGUUGCCAGUUCUGAUAAGAUAUUUCUUAGUUUUUGCUUACAAAGCAUCACUUAUCAAAAUAUCAUGGCAUGUUUCAAACUCUCCGUGCAAUGAGGUCGUAGGGAAAUGACUUGAAAGAAAUUGUAAAAGGGACCCUAAGGGGAGAAAAAUUAUGGGUAGCAUAUUGAAGCCACUCCAAAAGCGGUAGGGAUGUUGAGCCAUCCUUUACAUGAGAGAACUUAAUUGGUUCAAGUAGCGCUUCAUCUCAAUUAUGGUUCAGAGUCCGUUCUCAUUUUUGUUUACAAAAAAAUUCACAUUGCUGCAUCAAAGGCUAGAAGUGGCAGGAAUCUUUUGUAGAGAUAUUCACAAUGGCACGGCGGUCUUCAUGCUACUAGUGAAGACCACUGUGGUACUAGUGAAAGCAGUCAAAGGAAAAUGAUGAUGACAGAAAACUCACACUGCUGAAAAUCUUUUUUUUUUCUCACACUAAUAAAUGUUGUUCUUUUCUCCAAAAGAAAAAUGAACUGCAGUGUUCAUACAGAUCCAUUGCUUUGCAGUCUGCUCUUGGGCAUUUUGUUUUCAAUAAAUUAAAAUGUAAAUCAUGCAUCAAGUUUAUUUUUGCUCUGCAUUGUUUUUAAAAUAGUAAAUGCUUUUGGAAGAAGAACAGUGUCACCCAGUUUACCCAAAAAGGUUUGGAACUGGCUUCAAACCUUGUGUACCAAUUGAGGCUUCUCUUUGGCUAUUUGGCUAUUCCCUUAAAGAUUCAUUCCCAUGUAUUCCUUUUAGGAUUACUGAGGACUGAGCUUCACUUAAACUGGAGUUGGAUUUUGUGGACAAUCCAGACAAAAUCCAUUUACCAAUAUAAAUUGAUUUUUUUUUUUGAUCACUUAAGCUUAUCCCACCCAGACCUCAAAACCUGAUCCUAAAAUGUACAAUCUAAUCCUAAAAUUGAUCAACUCUUAUGGAACUUGCAAGCAUGCAUCAAGUGUAGGUCUUCAGUUUAACCUAAUCACAAGAUCUCUUUCUUGGAAGCCCCUUUUCUGUUAAAAAGUCCAUCCAAGGAGGAUAUUCAGAUCUGGCUAACUUCAUGGUGUGCUUACGCCCAUAUAUAUCGAAGCUCACACUGAACUUUGUAGAGCAUACCCUAGAUCAUGAAGCACAUGAAAAUAAUGAAAGAGUGUAUAGACAGACAGAUGAACAGACAGACAGACAGAGACAGCCUCAUUGGUCCAUCCUAAUUGUUCUUUUUAAGCAUUAUUCAGCCAUUACAUAUAUGUAAAAUAGAGCUUUUAAGAGCAGAGCAGCAUUUUUGCCUUGUUACCCAGGGUGACUGUAAAAUUAUGCCACAAAAAUAGUUAGUCUUUGAGUGCUGGGAGCAUCUUCCCUGUCCAUAACUGUCAUUUACUGUUCAUAACAUGCCAUUAAGAGCUGUUAUUGUAUUAGCUGAAGUACUAUACAGCUUGCGUGCAUAGCAUGCCGAAAGCAUCCAGCAAUAAAACAUGUAAAUGUACAUCUGUCAGGUAGCUUCCUUUCCUCUUAUAGGGGUUACAGAAAUAGUAUUUCUGUCUCUCUGUAUUACAGGCCCUACCUCAUAUUGCUAUAGAAAUCACCUGAGAUUUCUGCCUACUUGAGCUUCUCCACUAGCUAUAGGAAUUCUUUUAAUGCAGCAAUUAUACUUAAGCCCCAGAUUCUACUAUAUUUGUAUUUUUGCCAGUCGGCCACAACUAAAAAGAUCUUUUUUAAAGAGGAGGAAUAUGGGAUAUACUUAAUAAAAUAAGACUAUACAUGUUAUAUAGCAUCUUACAUCCAAGGACCUAAUAAUUAUUCAUUAAUUAGUUAGGCAUUACAACACUCAGGAAAGGCAGGUAAACAUGAACAGAAUGUAUGAAAUGCAUCACCAUCCAGGAACUUGUCACUCAAUGGUGUAUUUAUUAGCCAUAUUGGUAGAACUAGGUAUCCCUACCUUAGAACGUAGGUUUCAAUCACUUCAUAGAAUCUUAGAAUUAUAGAGAAGUAGGGCUGGAAGGGAUCUCCAGAGGUCAUCUAGUCCUACCCCUCUGCCUGAGGCAGGAUUAUCCCUAUCCAAACCAUCCUAGACAAAUCCAUUGUCUAACCUCUUACAUAGUCAAUCCUGACACAAAACCUAAGACCUAACACUCCAACCUGCCACUGGUAAAGCAGGGGACCACAGUGUUAGGGUAGCUUGUCAUAUUUUAUGCUUUAAAGUUGCACCUGCUUAUAGGGUGGUGAAAUAUAGUAUUGUUUAAACUUUUUUUAUAUUGAGCCUUAUUUAAUCAUUGCAUAAGUUUUGUAUAGCCUCAUUAUUAUCUGGACUUUUUAUGUUGUUUAUCAGCUGGCCUUGAGUUGUUUUUCCUAGAGGUCAUAGUGCUUAUAAUAUUGUAUUUUUUCUUUUUUAUCAUGUGAGAAGGUCUUCUAACAUAACAUAGCAAUAGCCUUGUUACCAACUCAAAUUAACUGAACUUGGCAAUAACUGGCUGAAUCAGAGUGACAAACGAUUGGCUAUGUUAAUGAAAGGUGAUAAGAGAGACCAAUGGACAAUGCCCAAAGUAAGACAGUGGAAAAAGACCAAAUUAAGAGGUAUGCUCGUGAUGCGUCUGUUGAACAAAGGAAUAUGCUGACAGGAUAAAAUAUGGACAAUAUGCUGACUGCAGAGAGACCAGACCAAAAGCAAAGAGUCAUUGAAGGAGUGAAGUUGAAGAAAAGCAAAAAAAGGGGCAGCAAGAAAGUUAAGUGUGUCAUCAUCAUAAGUCCAGCCUUCAACACCUGUCUGGACCGUCCCAGCCAAUGACACACCCUUUGCUUUCAGGAACUGAGUGGCCAUCUUUUUUGUUGGGCAAAGUAACAUCUGGGAUCAGGUGAGAUUAUUGUACUGAAUGUUUUUCUCUCUCUGAAUAUAGAAACUGCUAAGAUAAUAUUUAUUGUACUAAUAAAGUUAGACUGAUUUUAGGACACUGA